AAUAAACCACCCGUUCACGUAAGAUCACAGAAGUUAAGCAACGUCAAGCCUGGUCAGUACCUAGAGGGGUGACGGCUUCGGAAUGCCAGGUGUUGUAAG